UGGGACCAGAGGAGCUAAGCAAAAUCCUAAGAAGAAGUCUCUGGAUACAUUGAUUAAAAGACUCAAAGACGUAAACUGAAAUCACAAAAAUUCUGGACGAAACUUAGGUUCGGCAUUAUGAUUUUCCAGUGAGUCUUCUUUCUAAGGGGGCAGCAGUGUAUUGUUUGAACAGAGCUGAGUGGAUACAGUGGAGACUUGUGUACUCUUCUUGAAUCAGAUGUAAGUUUAUAUAUAUAUAUACCAGUCGUUGCCACGUGCGUUGCACAAAUUUUGUAUUUAUCGUGCUUUUAUUAGCGCAAAAAUUGUAGAUUUUCCAAAACUUGUUGAAGAUAAUCCAUUUUUGGUUAGUUUUCUUAACUGAAUAUAAGAAAUGAUGUAAUGAUUUUCUUUUAUCUUAGGUUGUACAUGUUUUAGGAGCUUAUCUGCAGCUCAUUUCUUGUAUGUUUCUUAUGCUAAAGUGUUUAUUUAGUCGUUCCCAAAUUCUAUUGUUAGUUAAGCUGCUUUCAAUUGCAAAAAAAGAAGUAGAUUGAGGGAUGGAAGCAAGUAUUCAACUUUCGUUAAGGAAUCAGUAGUACAUCUUUUUAUAUUUGAA